GACGAACGCUGGCGGCGUGCCUAAUACAUGCAAGUCGAGCGCAGGAAAUCGACGGAACCCUUCGGGGGGAAGUCGACGGAAUGAGCGGCGGACGGGUGAGUAACACGUAAAGAACCUGCCCUCAGGUCUGGGAUAACCACGAGAAAUCGGGGCUAAUACCGGAUGGGUCAUCGGACCGCAUGGUCCGAGGAUGAAAGGCGCUUCGGCGUCGCCUGGGGAUGGCUUUGCGGUGCAUUAGCUAGUCGGUGGGGUAAUGGCCCACCAAGGCGACGAUGCAUGGCCGACCUGAGAGGGUGAUCGGCCACACUGGGACUGAGACACGGCCCAGACUCCUACGGGAGGCAGCAGUAGGGAAUCUUCCACAAUGGACGAAAGUCUGAUGGAGCAACGCCGCGUGAACGAUGAAGGCCUUCGGGUCGUAAAGUUCUGUUGUAAGGGAAGAACAAGUGCCGCAGGCAAUGGCGGCACCUUGACGGUACCUUGCGAGAAAGCCACGGCUAACUACGUGCCAGCAGCCGCCGUAA
rnacentral:rRNA from 1 species